UAGGGAAUCUUCGGCAAUGGACGAAAGUCUGACCGAGCAACGCCGCGUGAGUGAAGAAGGUUUUCGGAUCGUAAAACUCUGUUGUUAGAGAAGAACAAGGACGUUAGUAACUGAACGUCCCCUGACGUUAUCUAACCAGAAAGCCACGGCUAACUACGUGCCAGCAGCCGCGGUAAUACGUAGGUGGCAAGCGUUGUCCGGAUUUAUUGGGCGUAAAGCGAGCGCAGGCGGUUUCUUAAGUCUGAUGUGAAAGCCCCCGGCUCAACCGGGGAAGGUCAUUGGAAACUGGGGGACUUGAGUGCAGAAGAGGAGAGUGGAAUUCCAUGUGUAGCGGUGAAAUGCGUAGAUAUAUGGAGGAACACCAGUGGCGAAGGCGGCUCUCUGGUCUGUAACUGACGCUGAGGCUCGAAAGCGUGGGGAGCAAACAGG
rnacentral:rRNA from 1 species